GCUGGGCAUGGUGGUGCAUGCCUUUAAUCCCAGCAACUCUGGAGGCUGAGGCAGGAGGAUUGGAAGUUUGAAGCCAGCCUCAGCAACUCAGCAAGACCCUGUCUCAA
rnacentral:sRNA from 1 species